UACGGCCACAUUACAUUGAAACCCCGGAUCCCGUACGAUCACCAAAGUUAACCACUAUUGAGUCUAGUCAGUAUCUAAAUGGGUGACUGCUCAAGAAUAUCAGGUGUUGUAAG